AACUGUUUUAAAGACUGAUUAGAAAUGUUUCUUAGAUAUCAGGAUGAUUUCUGAAGAUCAUGUGACACUGAAGACUGGAGUAAU